AGGCCACUUCAAAGAGGGCUUUGCAGGGCUGUGAAACCAAGAACUCUUAACACUGUAACCAAAGGCGGAAGUUCUCCACGGGAUGUCAUAGACACUCCAUAGUGUCUCCAUAUCUGAGGGGAUAUAAAA